AUUGAACGCUGGCGGCAGGCCUAACACAUGCAAGUCGAACGAGUGGCGGACGGGUGAGUAAUGUAUGGGGACCUGCCCGAUAGCGGGGGAUAACUACUGGAAACGGUGGCUAAUACCGCAUACUAUCGGAUGAACCCAUAUGGGCUUAGCUAGUGGGGGGGGUAAAGGCUCACCUAGGCGACGAUCCCUAGCUGGUCGGAGAGGAUGAUCAGCCACACGGGGACUGAGACACGGCCCAGACUCCUACGGGAGGCAGCAGUGGGGAAUAUUGGACAAUGGGGGCAAGCCUGAUGCAGCCAUGCCGCGUGUAUGAAGAAGGCCUUAGGGUUGUAAAGUACUUUCAGCGGGGAGGCGUUACCCGCAGAAGAAGCACCGGCUAACUCCGUGCCAGCAGCCGCGGUAAUAC
rnacentral:rRNA from 1 species